UCGCUUCUCCUCUUGCUUCUGUCAUCAUCAUCGUCGACAUCAUCUGAUGCUUGUCGUAGGUAUGUCUGAAGAUCUUGAUCCUACUCUCAUCUUGAUCUUACUCUCAUCAAAGCAGGGAAAUGAUAGCGAGGCUCAGUAUUGGGCGCAAUAAGGCCCAUGAAUGGGUCCUUUUCAUCCUUCCUCCCAAACCCUUCCAUGGUCCUAAAACCCAAACCGGCGUCUUCUCGCUUCUCCUCUUGCUUCUGUCAUCAUCAUCGUCAACAUCAUCUGAUGCUUGUCGUAGUGAACUUGGCUACACUAUCUUUGGGAAGGUAACAAUUUGAUAUCAGAAUUACAUCUGCAACGAUAACAUGGUUUUGUGGCCUCAGAUCUUCUAUUGGCUGUUGGUACUGUUUGUUGCCUCGCUGCAUUAUAUCAUUCUUCAGCUUUUUGAAGACGUCAAUUCAGAGAACAGUUCAAGAUUGGUUGGUCCUACUAAUGAGGUAUCAGAUUCAAAGAAUUCCCCUUUUAUUUAAAACAGUGGGGACAACGUUUUGUCAAUCUAGUUAUGUCUUGGACUUGUUACUUGUUUUUUCUCUCGUCCUCAACCAGCUCCUUUUUCUCCCUGGAUUUCAACUACUUGGACGUGUGCCAUAAAUGUUUGUCCAUUGUCAAUAUUAACUUUUGGGUUGUCUUCUUUCUCCAAAAACUUUUGUCUUGGUAGUGACAAGUGGUAGUGCUGACAAUGCUUAGGGCCUACAGGCUCCAUAAUGGUGGAAGAUUCAGCAAUAGCCAGUGAUGAUUUAGGGGUCGGCAAAAAUUUAUGAUCGGCACAACUUUUUGCCGACCCCUAAAUCAGAUCAAUUCCUAUUCCUAUAUGCAAAAAGUAAACUAGAGAUCCCUUAUUCCUUUAGAAGUUCCUGGUUAUAAAGUUUGGCAACACUGUAAUUUUAGCAUGGUUUAUUGUCAUGCAUAAAUUUUUUUCGUUGAUGCUAUGAUACAUAGGUUAAAAUCAUAAACUGUAGUACUUAUAUGUUGAUGAACAACUGUAGUUUCACUAGAUUGGUAACAUCACUCUUAUAGAAGAGUGUUAUAGCAAAUUCAGUUAAGACUAAAAAAAUGGAAGAUUAUGGACCAUCUCGUAAUUGCCUUAAUAGGGCUUCAUUGACUUCUUUCAGAUGAUAAAUUCUUGUUUUCACUUCACCUUUAUUCACCAGCAUCUUUUAACUGCUGAUAUGUUUAAUUUGAACUGUUUGUUUCCUCAUCUUUAUUUCCACUUGACCUAAUAUUUUGUACGAUUCCAUUAGAUGACAUUUGGGUGGAAACAAGUGAGACACGUCGUGGAAGAAUUAACUUCUAACUACGGUGGCCAAUCUUCCUUCUUCAAAUUGUAGCACUUAAAUGAUGCAUUGUUUGAUGACAGGCUCCACUUUCAUAACAAAGAGUGAGAACAUGAUUACUUGGGUGUUGUGGGGACGAAGUGGCAUUCUCAAUCCAACAAGGAUCCUAUAAUUAGUGGAUUCAUCACUUUGAACUUUUUCUUUCUUCCUUAUUCUUGCUAAGGUCAAAUGCCAUCAUGUCUUGGGCCUCCCACACCUUCCUUUUCUGAACGAAAAGCUAUAGCACUUUGCUCUCUGUGCCACUUAAGGACCCAACUAAAGUGUAGCCUGUGGAUUAGUAUGAAUCGAAGAGUGGAAAUCCUUUUGAGCUAGAUGUCUAUAAAUGACCCACUGUGGUUCCUUCUUCAUAGGAAGAAGGGGGAGUACGACAACUGAGUAACGGCCUAAUUAAAAUUGUUGCAUGCCAUGUUCCUGUCCAUGCCUUGAGUAGGAGGGGAGGCAUAACCCUAGAAACUGGAAGAUAAGGUGCAGAGACAUAACCCUAAGAAUUGGAGAAUUAGGUAUCAUCUAUCUCUCUCUGCCAGUGCAGAUGGAUUGGACCCCAACAGCCCUUAAGUUAAUAUUGGCACCCGAUGAUCAAAUUGUGCUAAUAAUGUAAAAAGAAAGAGAGGAGAGGAAUACUACAAAACUUUUACAUGUUUUGGCUCACAUGCUUAUGUUGACAAGCAAAUUCAGAUUGAAGUUUGCUGCAUCAAAUUUAAAUAUGGGGGCAUGCUGGAGUACAAAGAGAACCCCUAACUUGAAAAAGGGCAUGGAAUCUCAAAUCAUGAAGACACCGGCAUGGCAGGAACCUCACGCAUCGUACCAUUUAUCUCUUAUGCGGUCGAGUUGAAUUGAAGAGACACCUAAACCAGUCCAAGACCUGUGAGCACUCUUCCUCGACUCAUUUUGCAGUCUCUGAGAAACGUCCACCGGCGAUGGGAGUCCCUUUUGGUGGUAUUCCCCACAACACAUACUUCUUGUAACGAGCAUGUGGACCACCCCUUGACCUGGUUCAUUGAUUCAGGGAUGCUCUUCUUCUUCUUCUUCCUCCUCCUCCUCCUCCUCCUCAAGGACGAGAUAAGGUUUGGGGCUCACGGCAAUCUGUGAUGGUCACAACAGGACUACAAUAGCUUUGCCUCAUUGCUCCACACCAGUAGACGCCAAGAUGCUACCUCACUAUCAUCCAGCUGUAGCCAAGCAGACGUCUCAUGACCAUCCAUAUCCAAUGAUCCUUUUGCACAGUAAAUUCAAUCACCAGCAGUGCUACGGAAUCUUCUUCUUCUUCUUCUUCCUCUUCUUAAUCAUAACUAAAUGUGUCUCCCUGAUGUUUUCUAAAAGAAAACACAUCUAAUAAUUGAUGGUUGCAAAA